AACGAACGCUGGCGGCAUGCCUAACACAUGCAAGUCGAACGAGAUCCUUCGGGGUCUAGUGGCGCACGGGUGCGUAACGCGUGGGAAUCUGCCCUUAGGUUCGGAAUAACAGUUAGAAAUGACUGCUAAUACCGGAUGAUGACGUUAAGUCCAAAGAUUUAUCGCCUGAGGAUGAGCCCGCGUAGGAUUAGCUAGUUGGUGUGGUAAAGGCGCACCAAGGCGACGAUCCUUAGCUGGUCUGAGAGGAUGAUCAGCCACACUGGGACUGAGACACGGCCCAGACUCCUACGGUAGGCAGCAGUGGGGAAUAUUGGACAAUGGGCGCAAGCCUGAUCCAGCAAUGCCGCGUGAGUGAUGAAGGCCUUAGGGUUGUAAAGCUCUUUUACCCGAGAUGAUAAUGACAGUAUCGGGAGAAUAAGCCCCGGCUAACUCCGU
rnacentral:rRNA from 1 species